rnacentral:lncRNA from 1 species
UUCAAGAUUGACAGAGCAGAGAGCCUCCCCAGGGAUGCAAAGGCAACAGGAGACAUCUGCUGGAGAAGAGGACUCAUCUGCUGGAGUACUUGCACGUUGGGCAAAGAAGGAACAUGAGACCACAGCUUCUGAAUGCAUCCAAAGUUGUGGAGAGAGCUUUCUGUGCAAAGGGCUCCAUAGUUAUGAUAUUGCCAUGAGUUUCAGAGGAGCUGGAACAAGGAAAGUACAGGAUAGCCAAAAGAACUUACUAUCUCAAAGUAGAAGGAAGAAGUCAAAGAAUAAAGGAACUCCGAAGACAAAGAGUGGACCCAGAGAAGUAUGAAGACCUUGAUCUUCACAAUAAUAAUUACUACAGAAUGAUAAAUCAUUGAAUAAAUACUACAAACAC